GGUUAAGCGACUAAGCGUACACGGUGGAUGCCCUGGCAGUCAGAGGCGAUGAAGGACGUGCUAAUCUGCGAAAAGCGCCGGCGAGGUGAUAUGAACCUUUGACCCGGCGAUGUCCGAAUGGGGAAACCCAGUGCAAUUCGUUGCACUAUCGUUAACUGAAUACAUAGGUUAACGAGGCGAACCGGGGGAACUGAAACAUCUAAGUACCCCGAGGAAAAGAAAUCAACCGAGAUUCCCCCAGUAGCGGCGAGCGAACGGGGAGCAGCCCAGAGUCUGAAUCAGCUUGUGUGUUAGUGGAAGCGUCUGGAAAGUCGCACGGUACAGGGUGACAGUCCCGUACACGAAAGCACACAGGUUGUGAACUCGAAGAGUAGGGCGGGACACGUGGUAUCCUGUCUGAAUAUGGGGGGACCAUCCUCCAAGGCUAAAUACUCCUGACUGACCGAUAGUGAACCAGUACCGUGAGGGAAAGGCGAAAAGAACCCCGGCGAGGGGAGUGAAAAAGAACCUGAAACCGUGUACGUACAAGCAGUGGGAGCACC
rnacentral:rRNA from 1 species